AACCUCCGCAAUGUGAGAAAUCGCGACGGGGGGAUCCCAAGUGCCAUUCUUAACGGGAUGGCUUUUCAUUAGUGUAAAGGGCUUUUGGAAUAAGAGCUGGGCAAGACCGGUGCCAGCCGCCGCGGUAACACCGGCAGCUCUAGUGGUAACAAUUUUUAUUGGGCCUAAAGCGUCCGUAGCCGGUUUAAUAAGUCUCUGGUGAAAUCCUGUAGCUUAACUGUGGGAAUUGCUGGAGAUACUAUUAGACUUGAGACCGGGAGAGGUUGGAGGUACUCCCAGGGUAGAGGUGAAAUUCUGUAAUCCUGGGAGGACCGCCUGUUGCGAAGGCGUCUAACUGGAACGGUUCUGACGGUGAGGGACGAAAGUUAGGGGCGCGAACCGGAUUAGAUACCCGGGUAGUCCUAACUGUAAACGAUGCGGACUUGGUGUUGGGGUGGCUUUGAGCUGCUCCAGUGCCGAAGGGAAGCUGUUAAGUCCGCCGCCGGGGAAGUACGGUCGCAAGACUGAAACUUAAAGGAAGU
rnacentral:rRNA from 1 species